UGGUCUCGUUGCUGGCAAUUCUGCACAUAGCAGCAAGUUUGAAACUCAAUGAUCAUUGUGGUCCUUUUUAACCCAGGCCAUUCUAUGAUGAUUGAAUUAAAUGUUGCAGGUAGAUGCCACUGAGCUGAACAUCCCUUCUCCUAUGGGCUACUCCAGAGCAUGAAAUUUUCAAGACAGGUCUGCAGGUGCCUUUGGUGUUUGUGAUGACAAAAAUGCUAUUUCUGUGCUGUUGGAGGUUUUCCAAGCUCCCCCCACACUGAGAAGCUGAGCCCAGUAUAGCCGGCCAGCAUCAGACUGAGGUGCAUCAUUCAAUCUCAGGCCCAAGGUAUAUGGUAACACUUUCCUGUGCCCCAGCCAUCUCAUACAAGUGACAGUGCUAGCUGUCCUUUUGCAUCUUCAUUCUCUGCUAUUGCCUGAUGGCAGGGCCCAAACCUGUGGUUUCAAAGAAGUAAAGCAAUCACUGUGAGGUGACACACUGUCCCCGAUGCUGUGAUGAUUACAAGGCAUUGCUUUGUGCACAUCACACUCUGAAUGCAGACCUUUCAUCUACCGAAUGUGCACCUUUCCUGUUGGAAAUAAAUAUGCAUUUACAGCAAAUUCAGGGAAAACAUAGAUGAGAGGGUAGAAUAAAUACAUAUUUUUUGGUAAUGAUGAAUGUUAAAGUACCUCAAAAGCUGUGUUGUUCUUGCUUGCUAUCCUCAAGACCUUUGCAAGUUCUGGACAAUCUCAGAAGGCACUAAUGAUGUUUAUUUCUCCUUAUCCUAAUUCUUCCUCUCUGGGGAAGUUUAUAUGGCAGUAACCACUCCAAGGAGGAUUUGUUUGUCUUGGAAGUCCAGACAUGGGGCCUAGGGAUCCCAUGACCCUGUUCCCUGCUCUGAUACCCUUCCCACUGUACUCUAAUAGCUCUGCUGUUGCUGUAGGUUUCAUGACCCUCUAGUAAACUUGAAGGAAAUACAGAGUUGCACCAGAGCUGUGUGCUGAGUUGAGUAAUCCAAUGAGAGUUCUUGAGUCUUCCAGUGAGCUCUGCCUGCCGUUAUCCACAGAGAUGCUGCUGGAGGUGGCCACAUCAAGCCCGGAUACCUUGGUUUUCUGGCCAGCAGCAGGCCUCAGCCAGCAGAGCCCAAAUCUUGCAUGGGGUCACAGCAGUUUCUCUGCAUGUGCAAUUUGCUCUAAGGUAUCAAAUAGCUCCUGUAAUGGAAGAUUUGCUGCAGUAAUGAUACUCAAGCAGUAAGAAAUCAAGUCCUAAUUAAAAAACAGGAGCUUUGUUAAAACACUGCCUGUUUCCAGUCAAUCUUUUCUGCAUUUAAGUUAGAGACUAACCCACUAGAGAGCAUGUCUAUGAUUUUAGGAUGCCAAAAUAGAGAAAGAAAGAGCCAAAAUUGAAGGAUAGUCUAAUCUCAUGCAGCUGUUAAUCAAGGUCACAUAAACUGGUGUACUGCUCUCGUUCUGGAGGACUAAUAGCAAGAUGUCUAUUUAUGGAAAAAGAAUUAUGAGAAUGUUAGGAAGAUUAAUUUUAGACAUCUUGUUAAAAUAUCCAGGCUCAAAUUUAUAAGCCUUCUUCUUUUGUAUUUAGGCGUAUUGCAGCUCUCCGAGGCCCUGUCAUAGGGUAUGUUUAUUUUUCUGUUCUUCAGAAGAAAAGUGAUAGUUAAAUGCCAAAAGUAUAUUUUCUGCUUAUGGAAAGUUGUACUUCAUGUGAUGACUUGUGAUGUCAGUCCUCUGGGUAAGGCAUUUUAUGGGAAUCAAAAUAGUAACUUCAGGGUGGGAUCUUUUAUGUUGCAGUCCUUCUUAGCUCCUCUGCUAAUCUGGAAUGCCCACUACAAACCAAAGGCUUGGCCCCUCUUUCCUGUGCUCACACUGUUCUGCUUGGUGUACCUUGAGUAAAUAAUUCUUCUCUUUGCUUUUUUCCCUCACUGUUUACCUUUCUUUCUGUAAUUUGUAUAAAAAAGGGGCUUGUGCUGAGUGAUCUUCUGACUUUGUGGAUGUUGCUCUGAUGGCUAUGGCAGGAGCUCUGUCUAUGGCUAAGGAAGGAGAGAAGUCAUAGUUCAACCUUUGGUAUGGUUUUCAUUUACAGUCUACACUGAUACUUGUGUGUUUGUCAUGGUUCUCUUUCAGUGACUUUAACAGAGCUGCUCUAACAGUAAAUUAGGCCUGGGAAUGUAACCUUCCUGCCCACACAUAUUAUAAGGGAAUUGCCCUUUUCCAUGAUGGAAAGGGGUUAAUAGCAGUUGCAAUGGCCUGUGUGGUAUGUCUGCUCCACUUGCUUCCGUUACCCUGGAGUGUUCUUUAUUCAGUCAAACAUGAUACCAUAAAAGUACUGUCUUAUCAUUAAUUUUCUUCCUUUUGGUUUAUCUACCAGGAGUUCUUUUCAGGAAGAGUUUAUCCUGAAAUAUGCUGGGGACAAACUGUAACUGAACUGUUUUUCUGUGUGACGAAAAAGAAAGUUGGGAUCCAGUCUCUCACCGCUGCUAACCUCUGUACUCACUUUUCAUAGAAGAUAAAACUGUUAUGUCAGACACAUCCUCCUUUCCCCUGUUUGUCUGAAAGCCUGUGAUUGUGCUGCAGAUGCUACAGGGAUCAGAGGAACUGAAGCCUGAGGGCUAGACUGAAGUUUUGUAGUUGUUCAAAUCUUUGGUUUCCCUUUACUGCUACCUGCAUGCUCAGCAGGAAGAAGGUGACUCUGCUUUACAUCGCGGAGGGGAUUCGUCUGCUUUUCACACUGGCUCCUUCUUCUCAUCCACUGUACUCACUGCUACCUCUGAACACCUGUGGACCACGCUGCAGCAUAGUUUCACUCCUUUGUGUCUGAAACAGAUACUUUGUGCAGUGGCUUAUGGUAACUUUACUCUCAUUUUUUAUUCAUUGCUGUAGAAAGAUGUGCACAAAUUAAUGCCAAUUGAGGAUCUUCAGUCCUGGAUCUAUGCUCAAUGGAUCAGACUCAUAGCCAGCAUAUUGAUCAGCUCUCCACUCCCAGCAAAAUGAGCACAUCUAGCAACAGAGGCAUGGAAAGGCAAGUGGUUUCCCCUGCUCAUUUCAAGGCAGCAUUUAGCACCUCUCUAGGGACGGGACGUCUGCCUGUGAAGAGUCAACAUGCAGGUGUUCAAGGCAGAGGUGUUUACUGCACCUGUCAGGAGGUGGAGAGGAUGUGGACUGUCGUGGCCAGAACAAGGACCUCUUGCCUGUAUCAAUCCAGGAUGGUCACAACUCAUGACAAAGCUUACAGCUCUGAAGUCUUUCCAAGAGAGAAGAGAAACCGAACUAGAAGAUGAGAGCAUUGCACAGGCACCAAAUGCUGUAUCUGUUCAACCUUUGUUUCAUCGAGAGAAGUGCGUGUCUACAAUCAAAGCACACGUUACUUCCCAUCACAUACUUAUAAUCUGAGACCAGUGGUUUAGUAGAGUCUGCUGCCAGACUACAGAGAAAAGGAAACUCAGUGGAUCACCAGGCUUUUCAGCCUCUGAGAAAGAUAACCAACCAUGAGCUUUUCUGAAUAGGAGCAGAUAAAUUCCUGCUGUACUUGUGGCUAGCUGUCUAUCUAUGCAGUGAAACGGCAAGAAAAGGUAUGGAAAAAUCCUUAAGCCAUCCCAUAAGAAAACAAAUAACUGAUUGCUUCACUUAAUAAGAUGUGGGGGACUCCAGGAUCCCCUCUUCGCUUAGAGCAUGGCAGCUGUGUAAGAAUUCCUGUAAAACAGGAAAGAUUAAUACUGUAACUAUUUGAUAGCUCAGAGGGAAAAGUGGGAAUAUUAAAUGCAACUGAAUAGAAUUUGACAGCAUUUUGCGUGGCUGACAGUCCUGCUCAUUUGUAACUUGAUUGUUCAAAACAAACAAACAAAAAUGGGAGAAAAAAUUCCAACUAUUAUAAAAUCAGUAUUUUUUAUUCUUUACUUUCACACUUUUCUCUCUGGAAGGGAACAAAACAUGGAAUAAAUCAAACUUAUUGAAGAUUCAUUAUUUUGACAAGGACAGUUAAUUGGAAUAAUUACUAGUGGAUUUUCAUUAAGCCUUAAAUGAAACUUUAAACGAUAGAAUCAGAUACACAGUAAGAGAAUAUUAUAUUAUAAAGCUGCUCACCAUAGUACCUCCUUAGACUCCAAAACACGCAUAUGAAGAUGAAUGGACAACAUAGGCCCACAGGUACUGAAGCAUAAAGAAUGUGCAAUGUCUUGUUUUUUCCAUGUUCUUUUGACUUAGUAGAGGCAUCUAGAACUGUAUUAACAUGCAUUAGCAUAGGGUAAUAUUUGACUGGAGAUCUUAGCAUUUGUUCUUUCUGAUGCAACUGGAUUCUUAAUGUAAUUAAAACAUUCUUUGGUACAGCAUGUCAUGAGAUAACCGUCUUCAGGGACCUAUUAGCAAGUAUGAAGGUACUGGAAUGAAAACUGUGUGGAAAAGUGUUGCUGAGGAAUGAUAUAUAGCACAAAGCUGACAGAAAUAAAGGGUCAGAAUUAAAGCAUAGCUCUAAACUUCCAGUGCAUUCGAAGAUUAAGGUCUUUCUUCCUCUUCUUUUUCUGUAGUAUUUGCUCAGUAGACAAAAACAACUAAAAAGCUUUCUGAUUGAUUUGUACUAGAAAUGAAUGUUGCCAUAGCUUAUGCACAUGGCAUCAUUAAGAAGAUAAUAAUUUUAGGGGUCUAACUUUAAGACUGAAACUCAUAGCAGUACCAGUUGCUUCGUUUCUCUUAAAGAGGAGAUAAGAAAUCAGAACUUACUUUUAGAUGAAGGUGUGGUGGUGUUUGCAGACUUUUCUGAAAGAGAAAAAUAAGAUGGGGAAAUGAAACUGCAACCUGGCAUUUUGCACUGCAGUUGUGUUCUCUGCUCCACAAACUAAAGUGUCAACAAACCUCAACUUCAACCUGGUGAUGGAAGAGGGAACAAAAUACAGCAAACAAAAGCUGCAGUGAUUUGUGGGAGGGGGGAAUGAAGUGUUGGUCUUCCACUGCUGACAAAAUCGUUCUUUGUUUCAGGUGUCUGUGGUACUCAUAGAAAUAUAUUAAUAGAGUACAUACACUGAGAUCUAUUUCACCAUUUAUUCAUAGUAUGAUAUUUGUGAAUAUACUCUUCUUGCUUAAAAUGAAAUCUGUACUGUGGAAUCUGGAAAAAUACUGUGCCUGAUAGCAGAUUGUAGCCUUAAUUAAACUUUGGUGUUUAUUUCUGCUGCAGGUUUUCCUGUGGCAAAAAAGUAACACUGGUUACAAGUCCAUUAACUUAUCAGGAGAAGAAGUGGCAACAGAAUGGUUUUAUAACUACACAGUCUUAGUUGGACAUUAGAGACGUGCAGACUGCUUUCUAGCAGCUGAGCAAUGCUGAGGAGGGCAGAUGUGGUUCACCACAACCUAGACAUCAAAACUGGCUAAGUUUGUACUGAAGUAUCACUUGUCCUCUACUUCUUGAGGGUAUUUAAAGCUCAGUGAUCAGUUCUUGAACUUCUUGGGUGCAAAAUUAUAUUUUCUCUGCUCUAGCAGGUGGCAACUCACAGGGGGGCUGAAACUAGAUCAUCAUUAAGGUCCUUUCCAAGCCAAGGCCAUUGUAUGGGUCCUUACUGCAAGAUUAUUCUCAACAAGAGGCUUAAAUUGCUUUGUUCUCUUUACUGUUGUGAUGCCUCAUCAACUAUGAAUAAAUGCUAUUGGCAUUCUAUCUAGUUAUAUAGCAUAUAACAAGGCUGUCCUUUCAUAGCCUUUCUUCGUUCCAGCUGCUAACUUUGAAUUAUUGAAUAAUUUACUAAAGUGGUGCUUUGCAUUUCUAUUCCAGAUUCUCCUUUUAUUUUUCUCUUUUUCUCUUUCCCCAGUACCAAGCGACAGGACAGAAGUAUGAAGGUGACAAUUACCCAUACAGCUGAUUUUGGACUGUACUGUACUACCAGAAAAACAUGCUGGGAGAAGCUGUCAUCCACUGUGAAUGAGUUUUCCUGUAUAUGGAAUCCACUUGUUUAAUGGGGCUCUUUUUGAGACUCAAUGGAACUCUCUUUAAAGAAUAACAAUCACAAAAUCACAGAGUUUAGGAGUUGAGAAGGACCUCUGAGGAUCGAUUCCAAUCUCUUCUGUUAAAGCAGUUCCCUACAGCAGGUCACACAGGAAAGUGUCCAGGUUGGUUCUGCAUAUCUCCAGAGGAGACUCCAUAGCAUCUAUGGCCACCCUGUGCCAGUGUUCUGCCACCCUAACAGUAAAGAAGUUCUUCCUCAUGUGUGCAUGGAACUUCCUGUGUUCCAGUUCAUACUUAUUGCCUUUGCCCUGUCACUGGGCACUGCUGAAAGAGACUGGCCACAUCCACUGGACUCCUGCCCUUUAGAUACUCAUCAGCAGCAAUGAGAUCCUUCUCAGUGUUCUCCAGGCUGAAUAGUCUCUCAGCCUUUCUUCAUAAGGGAGAUGCUGCAGGCCCGUAAUACUCUUUAUGACCUUCCACUGGACUCUCUCAAGAAGAUCCCUGUCUUUCAUGAAUGAAGAGCCCAGAACUGGAUGGAGUAGGAUGGAGUACUCCAGAUGUGGCCCCACCAGGGCAAAGUAGUUGGGGAGGACCACCUCCCUCAACCCAUUGUCCAUGCACUUUAACGAGCCCCAACUUUUAGAGUCCUACUGGUCUCACUGUCAUUCUGGUAAUGAGGAAAAGCUCCAGAGUGAAAAUGUUGGACUCUGAUUAUGCUUUGCUGUCAUUCAAUAGCAUUCAUCCUAACACCCCUGUCUUGAACAACUGUUUGACCGGUCUUUCCUCACAGUAAUGAACUAGACAAGUGUAUAACCAAGUAGUUAACAAUACAGAUUUUAGUCUCAGAGUUUCUUUGAACUUUAGUUUCAACUAGACUAUCACUGGCACCAAAUCCAAGAAGAGAAGAAAAACAUGAGAAAAAUCUUGAUGUGUGGGGAUUGAUUAUAUAUUCAUAAAGCCACUAAUCGCAGUUUCUUUUUUCUCUCAUUUUUUGCUAGGCUUUCUUUGUCUACUUUCAGGUCUUAUCUCUGCAUGGACACUGAUAGCAGAUAAAUCAAGAAUACAGCUUUCUUCAUUUUUAGGAGUUUUGUUAAAAUUGACUUUCUCCCUCUGGUAUGAAUAUCAGUUUAUAUCUCAGUUAAAUCUGGAAUUGUAGUUUAGAGAGAAAAUACAUAAAAUAUGCAUAGAAGAUUUUCCUAUGUUAUCCUUCUCACGGACAUUUUCUGUUACUUUUAGAUUUAUUUCAGAUUAUUGUUUACUUCACAAUCAUUAAUAAUUUACAGAAGUAAAGGCUUUUGUUUGGUAGUGAUUUGUCAUAACUGGAAUAAUGAAAAUAAUUAUAUAUAUUUAUAUCUUAUCUCCAUUUCUUCAGAUUUGUAAAGUUCUGCUAAACUCAGUGUUCAAGCUCUAAUAUAUCACUUUUACUUUGGGUCUUAUCAUUGAAUGUCCUGACAUUUUAAUAAAGAUUCUUGUUUCCUA